rnacentral:tmRNA from 1 species
GGGGGCGAUUCUGGAUUCGACGAGAUUCUUGAAACCCAAGGUGCAUGUCGAGGGGCGGUUGGCCUCGUAAAAAGCCGCACUUAAACUAUUCGCAAACGACGAACAGUACUCUCUAGCAGCUUAGGCUAGCUAGCUUUCCACUCAGGUGUUUCUUAUGCGCAGAGAUUCGGAAAGUCACCCUACAUUUGAUCGCGUGGAAACUUUGUCAGUAGUUGAAGCGUUAAAACCAAUCUGACUCGCCAAUACCAAUCCUGUCUGUCGGAGUGGUCGCGGUUAACUAAAAGACAUGACUAAACAUGUAGUACCGAGGAUGUAGGUUUUUCGGACGCGGGUUCAAAUCCCGCCGCCUCCACCA